rnacentral:rRNA from 1 species
AAUGAACGCUGGCGGCAUGCCUUACACAUGCAAGUCGAACGGCAGCAUGACCUAGCUUGCUAGGUUGAUGGCGAGUGGCGAACGGGUGAGUAAUGCAUCGGAACGUGCCUUUUAGUGGGGGAUAACGUAGCGAAAGUUACGCUAAUACCGCAUAUUCUCUGAGGAGGAAAGCAGGGGACCUUCGGGCCUUGCGCUAGAAGAGCGGCCGAUGUCGGAUUAGCUAGUUGGUGAGGUAAAGGCUCACCAAGGCAACGAUCCGUAGCGGGUCUGAGAGGAUGAUCGGCCACACUGGAACGGAGACACGGCCCAGACUCCUACGGGAGGCAGCAGUGGGGAAUUUUGGACAAUGGGCGCAAGCCUGAUCCAGCCAUGCCGCGUGAGUGAAGAAGGCCUUCGGGUUGUAAAGCUCUUUCGGCUGGGAAGAAAUCGCACCCUCUAAUACAGGGUGUGGAUGACGGUACCAGCAUAAGAAGCACCGGCUAACUACGUG